rnacentral:rRNA from 1 species
UGAGGAAUAUUGGUCAAUGGCCGGGAGGCUGAACCAGCCAAGUCGCGUGAGGGAUGACGGUCCUAUGGAUUGUAAACCUCUUUUGUCGGGGAGCAAAGAACGGCUCGUGAGCCGUGAUGAGAGUACCCGAAGAAAAAGCAUCGGCUAACUCCGUGCCAGCAGCCGCGGUAAUACGGAGGAUGCGAGCGUUAUCCGGAUUUAUUGGGUUUAAAGGGUGCGCAGGCGGAACGGUAAGUCAGCGGUAAAAUCGUGGGGCCCAACCCCAUCCCGCCGUUGAAACUGUCGUUCUUGAGUGAGCGAGAAGUAUGCGGAAUGCGUGGUGUAGCGGUGAAAUGCAUAGAUAUCACGCAGAACUCCGAUUGCGAAGGCAGCAUACCGGCGCUCAACUGACGCUCAUGCACGAAAGCGUGGGUAUCGAACAGG